rnacentral:rRNA from 1 species
CAGCCGCCGCGGGAAUACGUAGGUGGCGAGCGUUGUCCGGAUUUAUUGGGCGUAAAGGGAGUGUAGGCGGUCUUUUAAGUCUGAUGUGAAAGCCCACGGCUCAACCGUGGAGGGUCAUUGGAAACUGGGAGACUUGAGUGCAGAAGAGGAGAGCGGAAUUCCAUGUGUAGCGGUGAAAUGCGUAGAUAUAUGGAGGAACACCAGUGGCGAAGGCGGCUCUCUGGCUUGCAACUGACGCUGAGGCUCGAAAGCGUGGGGCGCAAACAGGAUUAGAUACCCGCGUAGUCCCUGUCUCUUAUAA